CCCUGUAUAAAAUAGGAAAAAACGGAAGUAGCAAUUUAAAAGCAAAAUUAACAAAUUUAUAGCCUGUUUUUGGAUGUCGAACAUGGGGAAACAAUUAAAGGUGGUCUCUGUUGUACAACAACCAUAUCAUAUGGUGCAAUCCGCCAUCUUGCCACCAAAGUGAUCGGUGUUUUGCCAACACACACAAAGAAAUUUGUGUGCGUACAUGAGCAGAGAAUAUGCGAGAAAGAAGAUAACAGCAAAGCGAAUGCAAAAUCUAACAUCUUAAUACCGUCAAACCCGACCGGCUGUUAAAUCUGCCUUGGAUGAAUCCAGACGAACAAACGCUAGAAAUCUACUCUUUUUUCGGGUGGUGUAAAUCGAGUUCAAUUUUUCGCCUGCACAUGCGCAACCCAAUAUAUCAGGUUAUGGACUGAUUUCAACCAUUCUUAGCGCAGUUGUUGGAAGUCAUAACAAAACCCUCAUGCAAAAUGUCAGCUAAAUCGGAUAGGAAUUGCGCCCUCUAGAGGCUCAAGAAGUCAAGAUUCCAGAUCGGUUACUAUGGCAGCUAUAUCAGGUUAUGGACAGCAGUUGUUGAAAGUGAUACCCAAACAUCAAGUGAAAAAUUAAAGCCAAAUCCAAAAAUUGCGCCCUCUAGAGGCUAAAGAAGUCAAGACCCAAGAUCGGUUUAUA